rnacentral:rRNA from 1 species
UACGAAGGGGGCUAGCGUUGCUCGGAAUCACUGGGCGUAAAGGGUGCGUAGGCGGGUCUUUAAGUCAGGGGUGAAAUCCUGGAGCUCAACUCCAGAACUGCCUUUGAUACUGAGGAGCUUGAGUUCGGGAGAGGUGAGUGGAACUGCGAGUGUAGAGGUGAAAUUCGUAGAUAUUCGCAAGAACACCAGUGGCGAAGGCGGCGCACUGGCCCGAUACUGACGCUGAGGCACGAAAGCGUGGGGAGCAAACAGG